AUUCAGCUGAUGAGUCCCAAAUAAGACGAAACGCAUGUCCUGGAU
rnacentral:hammerhead_ribozyme from 1 species